AAAAAAGUAAGCUAAUUAAAGCUUUUAGGCCCAUACCCUAAAGAUGAGAACACCUCCUUUUUUA
rnacentral:tRNA from 1 species